CUGCCCCUGUCAGGGGGACAACCCGCCGAAAGGCGGGCUAAACCCGCGUACAUGCCACCGGGGCAUCCCGGAGGCAGGAAAGGCUUCGGCCGGACAGGGAUGGGCAUGCGGCGCAUUAGGCAGUAGGCGGGGUAACGGCCCACCUAACCGACGAUGCGUAGGGGUUCUGAGAGGAAGGUCCCCCACACUGGUACUGAGACACGGACCAGACUCCUACGGGAGGCAGCAGUGAGGAAUAUUGGUCAAUGGUCGGGAGACUGAACCAGCCAAGCCGCGUGAGGGAUGAAGGUACAGAGUAUCGUAAACCUCUUUUGUCAGGGAACAAAGGCGGGGACGUGUCCCCGGAUGAGUGUACCUGAAGAAAAAGCAUCGGCUAACUCCGUGCCAGCAGCCGCGGUAAUACGGAGGAUGCGAGCGUUAUCCGGAUUUAUUGGGUUUAAAGGGUGCGCAGGCGGUCUGUUAAGUCAGCGGUCAAAGCCCGGGGCUCAACCCCGGCCCGCCGUUGUAACUGGCAGUCUCGAGUUGGAGAGAAGUAUGCGGAAUGCGCGGUGUAGCGGUGAAGUGCAUAGAUAUCGCGCAGAACUCCGAUUGCGAAGGCAGCAUGCCGGCUCCACACUGACGCUGAGGCACGAAAGCGUGGGUAUCGAACAGGAUUAGAUACCCUGGUAGUCCACGCAGUAAAC
rnacentral:rRNA from 1 species